UGCCACCCAGGCGCCCCCCCUAAGUGAUUUAUUUUAUAGUGAUUCUACAAUAAGGGAAAAUCUUUAACUUCCACCACAAGAAGAUUAAAAAGAGGUCCCUCCUGCACCAAGAAAGAUCUGCAGAUCUUUUUCAGUGUUCUUGGAGGUGUGGGGUGUGAGAACUUGAUCAGUUUGUGUCAACCACCUUGUUCUCUAAAGCUCCUAAACUGAUCUUGGAAACUUAGUUCUAAAAGACAUGAAUGAUUCAUGAAGCAUUAAGUUUGGGAGAAAUCUGCUGAUUUUUGUCUGGUAGCCUUGUCUGAUUUAUGAUAAAUUUUAUUGUCUUUUCAAAAUACAUUUUCUUCCUAUAUCUGUAUCAUAAAAGAUAUUAAGGAGGAAAAAACCUUUUGUAUUUGUUGUUAGUAUGGGGGAAAAUGUAGCUGAGACCUUUUUCGAAAAAACCUUGUGAACCAGGUCUUGCUUAUUGUAACUGAAGGCAACUUUAAAAGAUUUAAUUCUUCAAAGUAGAUAGGAUAUAGGUUAUAUAGUAAAGACAUAGAGAUUUACUGAGUCUUUAGAGAUAAUCUCGCUAUAGAAGUCUUAUGAAUUUUUGUGAGAGCAUGUUAAAUAUUUUUAACCUUUAUAAUAGCGUGGACAGAAUAGAUAAAUGCAUUAACUUUUUGAGUCAGUUGAGAAAAAAAAUUGAAUUAAAAGCCAAACCAACUGAAAAUGUAAGGUGGGAUAUAAGAAUAACUACCUAGUUUAUUAUUUGGUACCUAAAGUAUUAUUAUAGCUGGAUUUUUUUAAUCAAAACCAUCCCCAUUUUUAAAAAAUGAGCUCUGUCUUACAAUAGUAUUGAUGUUAUAUUUUGUAAAAAGAAAAAUUUAUUUCACCAUGUUAGAACUAGUGUUCUAAUUUCAAAUCAGUUAUGUAGCAUGAAUUAUAAAACAGGGACCACUGAGAUCUUGCUUUUUGUAUCUAAAGUAUGAAAAAUAAGAUCUUUUUGUAACAAUUCUUAUUAAUAACUUAUAUCACCUCCAUCUUGUUAAGCAGUAAAAUAAACUAUUGUUCUUUGAUUUUGACAGUAUAUAGGAGUGAAAACCCAACAUAUUGGCACUAAGGAAUUCAUCUCUUGGAAUUGGAACUAGGAUCUGGGGAGAUUUUAUUCUUAUGUAUAUAUAUACACACACACUUAAUCAUACACACGUAUACAUCCUAAUAUUUAAUCUUCUUUUGAUUAUGUAAGAAUGAUUUGUCAAAGAUUAGGUUUCUGAUUUGUCUUUCACUAGUCUUAGAUGCCAUGUUUUGUUUUGUUUUAAGGAGUCAAAGCUAAUCUGUGGAAAUAGUCCCUACUAGAAAUUUAGUUUCUUUGGUAUGAUCAUGCUCCCUAUCUACUCUAAUAGCUAAAUGAAGGUGAGAAGAGCAGCUGUAUGUUCAACAGUAUUGAUUUUUUUUUGAGAAGGAACAAGGAAAUUCUACCCAGCCCUUUCCUUGGAGCCAUCUAGACAGCGCUGGUCAGUAAAAUUAUAAUACAAACUACAAAUAUAAGCUACAUACAUAAUUUUAAGUUUAUUUUGUAACCACAUUUAAAAAGGAAAAAGAAAUAGGCAAAUUAACUUUAAUACCAUUUAAAUUAACCUAAUGUAUCUAAAAUAUUAUUUCAACAUGCAAUCAGUAUAAAGAUUUAUGAGAUGUUUUAUUUUUAUUCAAUGAAAUAUUCAAAAUCUGAUGUGUAUUUUACACUUACAGAAAAUUUUGUAUUGAACUGGCCACAUUUCAAGUGCUCAGUAGCUACGCAUAGCAGUAGCUACUGUAUUAGUGCAGAUCUACACCAAGAGUGGAGCUCCUAUUUUAGCAUCAUCCAUGGUGAAUUCCAUUGGGUAACUCUGUAAGCUCCCCUGGUCUAGAGUUUCCAGAUUUUAACAGAACACAAAAAAUUAAGAACAAAAACAAAACAGGGUGCCCAUUUUAAUUUAAAUUUCAAGUAAAUAGUGUAAUUUUGACUCAUGUUAUACUUGGGACGUACUUAGAAAAAAAUUAUUUGAAAUACAGAUUUAACUGGGAGUCCUGUAUUUUAUAUGGCAAUCCUACCCUGUUUUAACUGUGCAGAAGACAUCAUCAGGCUUCCCAGAUAAUUGUAAGACUAGAGCACAGAGAAUCUCUUUCUCUGCAGAGGAUUUUGAUCCCACCCCCAAAUCAGUAUGCAAACCAGAAACUAUCUAUAGCUCCUUUCCUCCUAAUUCCCUAAAAUGUUUAAGACAGAAGAUGGGCUUGUAUCACAGAGGCUUGGUCCUUACAAAUUUAAACAUUUUAAAUCUAGAGUAUUACAUUAAGCUGUAAGGUUUAUGAAAUUUUAUGACUUGCAUGAUUAGUUACUUGAGUUUAUAAAAUAGAAAUUGUCUAACAUCAUAUUGUUAGUAAUCACAUCUUAUGAAAAACAUUUCACCCUUGGUGACAGUCUCGGCAGUUUUCAGGGUCUUGGCUAUUUCAUAUUAUUCUCCUACCUUCAGUUACCACCGCAGCUGUCACAUCGUCUCAAGUUGGCAAGCAUUAACACAAAAUAUUAGGUCGCUAAAUGUCAGGAUAAGGCUUUACUUUACAUGGCAAGUAUUUAAGUACUUGUAAUUCUGUGCUCUAGUGUUGAUCACUGGACCCUGCCCCAGUCAACAUCCAGUCAGUUCUUAAACCAGUAUCUCUCAUUCAUCCUGAGGGCUGCUUUUCCAGGAGAAUAGCUUUUCGUUCAUAUUUUUUAACAUGUUUAAUGUUCAAGUUUUAGCAAUGUUUUGAAACAUGUAACAAUUUCUUUAGUAGUAGAUCUAUUCCUCUUAACCUCUAGAAAAGAGACCAUUUAUAAUUCGUGUUCUCUAAGGACAGUAAUUACACCAGCUCCACACUCCCUCUCGAGAGGAACACGUGCCUUCAUGAGAUGAAUGACGUCAGGUGUCAGGUCAACUUCAUCACCAGCCAGGCAGGUAGAUCAGCCGCCAGUGCGGUUGGGCAGUUAAGCAGUUCAGUUUCAGCCAUGGCGCAUUCCAAAUCCAUUCGUGCUUAGGAGAAUGUACCCAAGAGUGUGGAUGUGUUUAUAAUUACUGCAUUUCCUUCAGAGAACAAGAAUUACAGGUAAGGUUUGGUUUUUUUUGUUGUUGUUCUUGGUUUUUUGGGUUUUUUUUUUCAGUGAUCCAAAAAUUAUUUUUAGAUAAGAAAUUUAAGGAUUUGAAAGGAUUAUUCUUUUCCUGAAACAGUCACCUAAAACAUCUCAAAUAUAGCCUAUAUUAUAUAAUAGUUUUCUUCCUCACUCUAAGAAGGAAUUGAACCUGGAAAGGAGGGGAGUGGGAAGAGACAACUUAUUGUCAUUUGAAAGCUGUGAAUAUCACACAUUUCCAUGUCUAGAAAUAUCCUAGGUUUAUGUAAGAAUCUUACUUUGCCUAACUUCUAAGGUCUAAGGUAUGAAUUAUUUUGUCAAAUUAACACCUACAUCUAUAUAUAGAUAAGGUGUUCAGCCUUUGUGAGCUAAUAUCUUUAGCAGCAAUGCGUAAAUUAAUGAAUUGUGUUUGGGUUUUCACUUUUAUUCUCAAGACUGACUUCCUCUGGUUUAAAGGUUUUAACCUUGUUUCUGAUAACAGAAUUUAAAGCUGUGGCAAAAUACCCUCAAAUGUAGCUCCUUUUUUACCCUGUGAUGUUUGGAUGAGCUUUAAAGGGUCUGUGAAUCCCCUAAAAUUAUACUAAAAUUUUGUAUGUAUGUGUUUUUUUUGCUGGGAAGUGUGUACAUAAUUUUUAUUCUGUUCUUGAAGGGCUUUGCAACAAAAAAUUUGGUUAACAACCAUGGAUCAAGUCUAACAUCAUCACUUAAUCGAUAAACUGAAUUUCAAAGAAUAUGUUAUUUGCUUUUACUCAUUUGAAAUUUAAUACUUGUAAAAACUAAAAUUUAUUUCUAAGAAAAAUUGUACUUGUUGUUAGAAGGAAAAGCUUUACCUUGAGUUAAUUAAACUUGAGAAGACCA